rnacentral:tRNA from 1 species
GUGACGGUGGCCGAGUGGUUAGGCAACGGUUUGCAAAACCGUCUAUGACGGUUCGAUUCCGUCCCGUCACUCCA